UGGCUGGGCCGUGCGGGGAAAAGGGGCAGUCUGCGGUCGUUCGACGAACGAAACGAAGCCAAUCGAGCGACGCGCCGCGGCGAGAGCCGAGAGGGCGCCGGUCCGACGAGCCUACCGCCCCGCCGGCCCGAUGCAGUGCGACGGCUAUUAGAGCCACAAGCGGCGCUAGCCCAUGCAGAUGAUGUGGCGCCACAAGGAGCGCUAGGGGCGCACCGACCCCGAGCGGUGCCGGCGCCCCCAACGGUUGCAGCGCCGGAUGUGGCGCGAGCGCGAGCGGACGCAGCGGCGGAUGCCGGAGCAGCAGUGCGCGCUGGGCCCGGCGCACGGCGGGCGGAAGCACGGGCUGCAUCUCCUGCGGCUCUGAGGGGAGGUACUCUAGUUCGCGUUCCCACCACUAAACUCUAUGACGGUCUUCACAAGAGUAAUAUUUGGAGGAGCGCGCGUAGUAACAGCACAGACGUUCUCUACAUAAGACUUUUACCUGGUGGUGACAUAAACCUAAUUGUUAACGCAACCCGUACUCUUAAUGUUUUAAAAGGAGCAUAAACACGACAUGCGACGUUGGCGUUCGAAGAUAAGAAACCGAGACUACUAACCUCCGCGUCACGUAUCACACGGAUUUCUACUUGUUAGUCCUUAACUAAGAGGUUCUUUUAGCAAUCAAUAAACACCACAGAAACACACACAUUACUGAAACCGUAACAGAUAGGAGAACCAGACCGUACAAAUGGAGUAGAACGUAUUAUUUUGAUGAUAACUCAUGGUACUUCCUCAAUCCCGUUACACCAACCGUCUUUUCCGACCUUUAGAAAUGGUAGUAGGUAUACUAGAGCCACACAUAGUAUUAUAACAAAGCCAGGAUCCGGGGUUGUACGAUACGACCAAGACGGGACAUAGCUCCUUGUAUCCGUUGCCGCAAGCAAAGGCGUGUAGUAUACUAUAAGGCGAUAGAUGUGAUGGUAGGUUUCGUCUUUUCGUAGACCGUUACAGAACUCGAGAACGUAACUCUCGCAUAUAACACCCUAGUUUAGCCACUUAGUACGACGUUCACAUUCCAUGUAUCACUCCCGACUCCUCGAAGUUCUCAUAAAGGAGGUCCGGGGUCCCUAAUGAAAAACCGGGCGAACUACUCUUCUUAGUGACCUCACCGGACCGGACGGACAUGAGUAUGCUUUUUCAGACUUGACUACUCAGUUUCUGGCGAGACAACAUUUCAUUCACGGACUUCACAGCAAAUGGACUUCAGGCAUAUAACGCAAAAGCACAGUCUCUCUCAAUCCCUGUUUACAGGUCAAAUGAGUUAUACAUAUCUCGACAACACAAUAUCUACAACUUAGGCACUUUAGACAAAUGUUUUACACACAGGUAUGCACGACGAUACGUACGAACACUGGACUUUCGUCCGGUAAGAGACACUUUGAAUACGUCGGACACCGCGUACUCUUCGACGCUACCGAUUUAAACCUCCAAAGUCUAA
rnacentral:rRNA from 1 species